rnacentral:tRNA from 1 species
GGGGGAUUAGCUCAGUUGGUAGAGCACCGGCUUUGCAAGCCGGGUGUCAGGGGUUCGAGUCCCCUAUCCUCCA